GGAAAGAUGGCUGAGUGGUUUAAAGCGUAGCAUUGGAAAUGCUGAUUAAGUAAUACUUAACGAGGGUUCGAAUCCCUCUCUUUCCU
rnacentral:tRNA from 1 species